GGCGGCGUGCCUAAUACAUGCAAGUCGAGCGAAUGGAUUGAGAGCUUGCUCUCAAGAAGUUAGCGGCGGACGGGUGAGUAACACGUGGGUAACCUGCCCAUAAGACUGGGAUAACUCCGGGAAACCGGGGCUAAUACCGGAUAACAUUUUGAACUGCAUGGUUCGAAAUUGAAAGGCGGCUUCGGCUGUCACUUAUGGAUGGACCCGCGUCGCAUUAGCUAGUUGGUGAGGUAACGGCUCACCAAGGCAACGAUGCGUAGCCGACCUGAGAGGGUGAUCGGCCACACUGGGACUGAGACACGGCCCAGACUCCUACGGGAGGCAGCAGUAGGGAAUCUUCCGCAAUGGACGAAAGUCUGACGGAGCAACGCCGCGUGAGUGAUGAAGGCUUUCGGGUCGUAAAACUCUGUUGUUAGGGAAGAACAAGUGCUAGUUGAAUAAGCUGGCACCUUGACGGUACCUAACCAGAAAGCCACGGCUAA
rnacentral:rRNA from 1 species